AUUUGAUGACAUCUAUUUCUCUUCUGAAACCAGGAUUUCAUAGAUUUCAAAUGCAAAGAACUCUGCAUGUGAUCAAGAUCAGGAAACCUGGAUCUAAAGGGUCUCUGAUCAGAAAACACUGUGGCAGGAACCAAGUGAACCCUGGUUGUACAGGAUUUUGUUUUUCUUUUUAUCAGUGAAGACGGAGUUCAAAAUGCUAUUGAAUCUGUAUAGCAGCGCAUCAGGCUUGGCUGAAGCAGGUGACUACAAAAGACAUUAGGCAAAAGAGACACGAGCCUGAAAUAUUAAAUGAAGUGUGCCGCUCUAAUUUCCUUCUAAAAAGAUAUGUUUUUGAGGUUAAGAUAAUCUGUGUUGCAUACGAUAGUAUAACACAUGCCAUUCCGUUUAAUAAUCUAUAAUUAGUAAGAAAAUGUUUUUCACCUAACACCUGCAGCCUUUUUAGUAAAUGAAUCAACAACAUAAACAACUCAGAGAUAAUGAUUUUUCACUAUGUACCUAUUCCUUUUGUUCUUCCUCUUUUAGAUCCAUGUAGAUUCGUGCUGUGGUUCUGCCCUACUUUAACAGUCAGCUGGUUGAUUUUUUUUCCUCUACGUCUUUGAUUGUACCACCAUAAAAAUGAAAAGAGCUUCAUCAGAUUUUAGUUUUGGUCUAGGGACUUUUCCUAGCUCUCAAGCCUGAAUGAAUAUUAAAGCAACUCAAAAUGCAACAAUUGUUAUUCUGAGGAUAAAAUAAAAAGAAAUAUUCUACUGAACA
rnacentral:lncRNA from 1 species